rnacentral:RNase_P_RNA from 1 species
CGAGUCGGCCAGGCAAUCGCUCGCGUGCUUGCACGCGGGAGGAAAGUCCGGGCUCCGGCGGGCAGGGUGCCAGGUAAUGCCUGGGAGGCGCGAGCCUACGGAAAGUGCCACAGAAAAUAACCGCCUAAGGACUCCCGGGUUCGCCCGGGAGUCCCGGUAAGGGUGAAAAGGUGCGGUAAGAGCGCACCGCGCGGGUGGCAACACCUCGCGGCCGGGUAAACCCCACCCGGAGCAAGACCAAAUAGGGAAGCAGCGUUCCGCAAGGGAUGCACCGUCGCCCCGCGGGCUUCCGGGUAGGUUGCUUGAGGUCGCUGGUGACAGCGAUCCCAGAGGAAUGAUUGCCCACGACAGAACCCGGCUUAUCGGCCGACUCGCACU